CUUUGUCUUUGUGUUAUAAAAUGGAUGAAUUUCGUUUUUCUGGAAAAGACUUGAUUUACGUGAUUGGGUGCAGACCAAACUCGAACAUGUGAGAACUGUGUCAAUGUGCAUUUCUAAGGCUCUAACAACCCUGUGAGGUAAUAAUAUUAUGACCUCCAUUUUACAUUACCUCAGAAGGAACUCAAGCAAAGAGAAACUGAGUUGCUUAUCCAAGGUCAUACAGCAGCAAUAUAGAGCCACAAGCUGAAACCAGACAGGACAAAGGCAUCUUUAGCAGACAGACCCCAUGCGUCCAGAGCCAGGUACACUUGCCAAUUCCAACAGAAAGCCGUCCUACUUUCUGGUAAAACAAUGGCUGAAGAACAACUAACUUCACAUUCAAAGAAGAUGCCGAGCUAAUUGAAUUUCUUGCAGGUAGUACUGCUAUUUUACGGAAAAGGAAGGGGAAGAUGAGAGAAAUGAUAUCACUAGUUUAAGAUUACUGCAGCGUCUAGAUUUGUACUGAAGCCUAUUCUGACUUCAAGGUGUAUCUUCUCUACCACUUUCUCUCCUUUUCUAACUGCUUAAUUGUGAAGAUCAAAAAAGAUAACAGAUGUGAAAGCACUUUGAAAAUGUGUUACUUCAAAGCCAGAGAUGAUUAUUUCUGUUGGUUGCGGUCAAGACCACUAUGUCAUAUGCAAGCCUGGUGCAAAGUACAAAUGUGGGGCUCCUUGUUCAAAAUUUAUUGAGACUUUGAAGAUGGCACAGCAGAGCAUUACACCAGGUAUGGGACCCAUGAACCCAGCCAUGGGAACAGCAGAAUUAUUGAGACAGGGGCAAUCAAAUUGAGCUUGUAGGAAACUUUCUAGAAGAAUAGAAAAAACAUUCUGGGGUGCCUGGGUGGCUCAGUUGGUUGA